GCUCAUGAGUGGGUUGUGGAGAACCACAGAGCUGCGGCCAGGGAAUUGCUGACAAAGGAAUCCCAGCAAGCACAGGGUGAAAGAGUGGCUGCCAGGAAAGAGGAGCUGGAGCAGAUAGGGUGAAGCAGGGGCGUGUCCUCAGAGCUUGGUGUCCUCACGGCUCUGGCUGUGAGGAGGACCUCGGUCCUGGUCCCUUGGGUUCAUGGGUCCCAGCACAGCCAUCCUACAUGGCCCAGCCAUUGUCUUGCAGUAAAAGCAGCUUAUCGCCCAGCUGGAAAAGCAGCUGCAGGCUGAGACUGAGGAGAUCAAGGUGCUGCGCCAGGAAAAACAGUGCCUGCAAGAGGAGCUGGAGGAGGAGAGUGCCUGGU